rfam:Pteropus alecto contig31779, whole genome shotgun sequence.
AUAUUGGUUUUUUUAAAAACUACAUUUAUUUACAAAGUGAGUUUUG